UCCUUGCAGUGGGUUUGUUGCGAGGUUCUGUACAGAAACAACCGGGUCACACUUCCCAGCGGGAUGAUGUCGGCGGUUUCACUCAGUCUGUUCCUGGCCUUAAUAGUCCGUGUCCAUUCCGAUGUCGUUCUCACUCAGCCCAAGACAGAGACCGCCGCUCCUGGAGGCUCCAUCACACUGAACUGUAAAACCAGCGGGUUCACUCUUAACAGCACCUGGAUGCAUUUGGACCGUCAGGUCCCCGGGCAGGGGCUGGAGUGGCUGCUUUACUACAACUCGCCGUCUGGCACCAACUACUUCGCUCCGGGGAUAGAGAGCCGAUUUACUCCGUCCAAAGACAAUUCGAAUAAUAUGUUCACCGUGAUCGCCAGGAACCUGAGGAUCGAAGACACCGCUGUCUAUUACUGUGCGGCUACAACAGUGGGUCUGGCACAGCGGUUCCUACCAAUACAAAAACAUCCACAACCCAUAAUACUGUGA